rnacentral:lncRNA from 1 species
UUUUUUUUUUUUUUUUUUGCUUUGCUUUUUAGGACUGUACUCACGGCAUAUGGAGGUUCCCAGGCUAGAGGUCUAAUCGGAGCCACAGCCACAGCCAUGCCAGAUCCAAGCCUCAUCUGCGACCUACACCACAGCUCAGGGCAACGCCGGAUCCUUAACCUACAGAGCGAGGCCAGGGAUCGAACCAGCAACCUCAUGGUUCCUAGUCAGAUUUGCUUCCACUGCGCCACGACGGGAACUCCUGCAUCUUCUUCUUUUUGACUCAAUGAUUCUCGUCGUUAAAACCCCAGAGGGGCGGAUGGUCACACACAGGGUGACCUCCUCACUCGUGACUCAGUCACAACCAGUCUCAGUAGUUCAGACGGUUUCGUUUGCCUUUCGUGACGGGAGCUUCUGGGCGUCUAGGCUCAUCCCGUUCUGCCACUGUGGUGCCCUUUUGUGUCACGGUCAUGGCACCCACUGCCGGGCACUUUUUGUCUCUGCUGACAUUUUAAUAGUCACAGGAGUGUGAGCACAGAGUGACAAGGGGACGCGGGAGCGGAGGCCGAGCGAGCUGUGGGGUGAGUGCCUCCUUUGUGAGCGACUCGAGAGGCGGCGCCCUUUCCAUCGGGGUUUCCUUUCCAGCGUCCGUCGUCCGUCUCGUCGCCCUGGCCUUGAGCACGAGAGGGAACGGCUUGCUCUCCGCCUGCCUGGUGCUGCGGGUCUGAACCCCGCGGGGCGGCCGAGCUGCAGAGCGGGCAGAACGAGGCCGCAGCGACCCCUGGGCGGGAGCAUUCCCACGAGGGGCCCUCUGGCGUGGCGCUGCUGUCAACCUUUGGGCCUGGACUGGUCUUUGUCCGGGACCUUCCUGUGCCCUGUAAGGAGCUCAGCGACAUCCCUGACUGCCUCCUUCUAGAUGCUGGCAGCACCACCCCUCCCAGCGUGACAACCAGGCCUGUCUCCAGACACUGCCAAGUGCCCCCUGGGGGCAAAACGCCCUCCCUGUUGAGACCCUUGCUCCGGGUAACAACAGCCCCUGCCCCAAGCUGUCAGUCAAGGCCGAGGAGGCUGAUCUUAGCACCCACGUCUCCUGGGUGAGAGGGGAGGCCUGGAGAGGUGCUUGGCUUUUUGUGGGAGCUACAUGAGGGGUGUGUCUGGGUUUGUUUUUACAAAGUGCACAGAUACCCCUGGAGGGGCUGGCACAGCCCAGGAUGCACCUGGCUGCUCUGAGCCUCGACUCUGUCUUCUCCCCAGACUCUCUGCACUUGGAGGUGCUGAGUAAAUGCCGUUGACUCAUGGGCAGCCCGAUGCGGGGGGGGUGCGUGGAAGAAGUGAGAGUGCAUGACUCAGGGCUAUUGUGACUGCCCAUACCCACUGUGCCCAUACCCACUGCCCCCCCCAGCCAGUGGCUGGGAGGCCAUCCCCGCAGGAAAGGAAUGCCCAACAGGUACGUGACCUAACAUGCUAAAAGCGACUUGGGGUGUAAUUACCCCCAGGAAAGACACGCCCGGGGAAUCUAUAACUGAGAUACGGGGGACGGAAGACUGGACUCCUGUCAUUUCCUUCCCUCGCAUGAUAUCAGAACCCUGAGCAGAGGCUGGCACGCUGCAGCUGGACGGGGAGACUCCCUGGGUGCAGAAAACCGCCAGCCCAGAGUUCUGGAAUGCAGCCGAAGCAUGAAGUUCUGUCUGGGGGAUCCCCCUCAGCCCCACCCGACAGAAUCCAUGGGUGUUGUUUCCAUCAGAGGCUUUUCAGAUGUUUCAUGUGUUUUGUUAACCCAAGGCCCGCCUUCUGAGAAUUCCUAGGAACUCUGAAAACAUGCCCAGAGUGAGUUAGAACCCAGCCAGCUCAACCAGCCCAUCACCUCCUCCUGGAAGCCCCUCUGGCCUGGCUUGGUUGGCACGGCGCCUCUCUUCUGCUGGCUCUGUCCAGCACCUGGGCCCAUUGCUGCUCCAUCCUUCUCGUGCCUCCUGAGAAUUCACUGCUUGAAUCCCGCACUCUUCACACCCCCUCCGGUCUUUGGCACGAUAUGGAGUUCCCCGUUUAUUUAACAAGCAGUGGUGCAGGGCUUACCAUUAGCCAGCACCACGCUAAGCGCUCUGCAGAUAUUAACUCGCCGCCUCACAGUGAUUACAGCCAUCUGCAAGUGGAUCCGCACACAUGCCCCCCAGUCCCCGGCCCCCAGCCCCCGGUCUGCCUUUGGAGGUUUGAGGAAAAGCCCAGGCUGAGUUUCUAACGGCUCCGCCCUCGCCAUCAACCCUACAGGAAUCCUGACAUCAAUGCCCAUGAUGAAGGGAUGCUUGGGUGUCAGAAAUCCCGCCCACCGGGGACGGGAUGCAGGAAGCGGCCAAGCCAGCCUCUGGACCACUCAGCCCAGCAGAGUGUGGGACUCUGGCCACAGCCCCCCGACGGCCCACUCCUCAAAAUGAAAGCCCUGUCCGGUGGACUAACUCUUCUUCCUGGGGCUUGAAAGGACAAAAGAGAUCCAGCCCGCCCUGCCCAAGGAGGGGCGGUUUCCUUUCAGCAACGCUCCCCAGAAGGACAAAAGAUUUCCAAGUCCCAUGCAGACAGCCCUCCUCUAGGCUCAUGUUACGCUGGAUUUUCUGUCAGGGCCUCUGCCCGUCCAGGGUCCCUAAUCCAGCAGCCGAGAUGCUGGGCUGCGAGCUUUCUUGGGUGCAAAGGUUCCCUAUGGCCUGUGCUCCCGGGACCCGCCCUACUGGGCACCUGACCCCAAACCACGGCCCGAUGUUUGCAGGACACUUGAAUUAGCCAGUGACCCCGGGACCUCACCAGCAAGGCACCGGGUCUUCCUGCCUGGUGCUCGGAGUCAGAACCUUGAACCUCCUCCCGGUUUGGUGCCUCAGACCUCACCCUGCUGGAAAUUUCUGGUGUCCUAGAGGAGUGAGCCCCUCCCGAACAGCACUGUCCAGCAGGAGACCUGCCACUCCCGCUGCACCACAGCGGGAACUCCAAAGCCUUUGCUUGUUAGUUUGGAAAACUAGGUCGGAUGGCUUUUAUUUUCUGCUUUAUGUUUGUUUCUCUGUGUUUCCCAAGACUGCUGCAAUGAUCACAAAGCAGUUUUAUUACCAGGAAAGCGGUGACAAUCAUUAAAAGCUCUGAGCUGCUGGGAAGCCUGCAGGCUCAUAUCCGACCCUGUUAUUGUUUGAGGGAUAAAGGCCAGUGUCUCGGAUUUUUAUCUGUAAAACCCCAGUUUGGAGAAAACCAGCUUUGCUCAGGGCCCGUUGGAGACACAGGCCCCCAGUAUUUUGACAGCAUAAUCUUUCACUACAAAAGCUCUCUGAUGACCCAGCUGGUCACACAGGCGUUUGAGGGGAGGAGGUGAGAGGUCUCUAUCUCGAGACCCCAAAGGUGGCUACCUGGCCCAUCGGAGGGCACCCUCCAAGGGUGGUGAUGCGUGUGUAGGUGCAACACGCACGCACUGUCUGCCUCGCCAGGAACACGAGAGCGGCUGCGGUUGGAGAUGCUGGCCCAGCUCGUGGGGGGGGGGGAGUCACGUCUGACCCAGUGGCCUCCCUGGAGGACCCUGGACAGGCAGGCCCCUCACCCCCCAACCCCGAGAGGCGGACAGCUGAGGCUCCUGGGCUCUGGGUCUCCUGCCAGCUGCGUGGGCCGGUGGGGGGGGCAGGGCCAUUCCUUCCCUCGGCCACGCGUGCCCUCCUUGGGUCAUCACUCACUUCUUGCUUCAUUCAGCCUCCUGCUCUUUGGCGCACCCGCUGCCUUAUUAACCCCCCUCCCCCCCACGGUCCAGCUCCUCUCCCCUCCCUCCCUGCAUCUGCGGCUUAAUUCACUUCCUCGUCCCCUUUGUGGGCUGCCCGCCCCCUCCCGUGGCUCGAAUGUCAGCUCCAGGCUAUUUUGUCCUGAUUCAUUCAGUGGCUCCAGAUUUCCCUGCCUGAAAAUGACACCAGGAGUGAGCCGCAGGGACCCGGCCCAAAGGUCCAGAGCGGAGCCGGUUAUUCAGGGAGCUGGGGCCUCCGCGCGUUCGCUUACGAGGCAAAAGGUUUGCGGGAAGGGGGCGCGUGAGAACCACCUCUGCGACCCGGGACAGCAUCUGUCGUGGCAGGAGGCACCAGCGACCGAGGGUGACUUAACUCAGCCCCUUCAAUCCUUUCGCUCAUGUAGACAAGACCCAAGGGGCCAGGGCCUGUGGAGUUAGUAGACACACACACACACACACACACACACACUCAUCCCUGCAGGGUUAAAAGUGGGUCCAACGUGUGUAACCUCCUCCCUCGCGCCGAUAUAAUUAGGGGUCCCAGAAUCCACCCCGGAGCGCACCCUGGCCACAGCUCACCACGGCCCCGAUCCCCCAGGAUUUGUGGUCCUGCAGGGCCCCCCACACGGCGGUCCUUCCCAGGGCUCCCACCUUCGUGGGGGCCCCACUGCUGCCUCUAACACACCAUCUCCCUGAGCAGAGCCCGAGAGCCACUUUCCCUGCUUCUUGGGCAAGAAUUAGUUCCAUCUGAAAUCAGAUUUUCUGGAAAAGCAAAGGUCUUCUAUUUCCCCCCCGCCCACCCCUCUGACCCAGCCCUAAGUGGCAAGAGAAUUCCGAGGAGGAGGAAUUUUUUCUCUUUUUAAGGCCGCACCUGCCACAUGUGGAAGUUCCUGGGCUAGGAGUCGAGGUGGAGCUGCCCCUGCGACCUAAGCCACAGGCACGGCAACACCGGACCCUUAACCCGCUGACCCUUCCCGCCAGGCAUGGAACCUGCAUCCUCAUGGAUACAUGUGGGGUUAAUCUAACCCUCUGAGCCACAGCGGGAACGCCAGGAGGAGGCAUUUUUAAUUAAUGUUGCAUUCCACAUUUUGGUUCUCUGGGCAAGCACCCUGAGGUUUUCAUAACCUCCUGCUCUCCUUCCCGCUGGGCAGUGAGGUGGCCCUCCGACCUCUGAGCCCAGCCCCAGGUCCCUCCUCGCCCAGUGAACUCCAGCGCCUCUCAGCCCCUUUCCAGAGAGAAAGCCCAUCGUGUCCUUUGUCAGGGAGGACAAAGCCCCCCAGCUCCCGCCAAGAGGAAAACAAGGGAAAAACACACUCCAGAUGAUGCCAGAGAAGGGCCCGGGGCUGGGCGGGCAGGUGCAUGGAAACCGUGUCAUCAGGCCAGGUGGAUGGGGCGGGCCACCGCUGCCCAGGGGGCACCCAGCAGGCCCGGCCCUCUAGCCUUUGCAAAUGUGCCUGAGGAAGGGCAUGUGGUUGGCGGCUGCAACCCGGGCACAGAGCCUCCUGGCCUUGGAGCUGGAUGGGGUGGGCGCUGUAGCACCAGCGACCUUGGGGGCCCCCCUGCCAGGGAGGGGCCGGGUGGCAGGGACCCCUUCGUUCUGCUCCCAUCCCAGCCUUGUUUACUUUGGGGACCAAACAAGGGCCUGUUUUCCCGUGGGGGUGGCAAGCUCCCCUCACCAGGACCUGACACUUGCUAACGCCUUCGCAGGUGUUAACGUUCUCCC